UUAUUUCUUCACCAGCAACCUUGCGGCAACUUCCUUGCUAAUUUGAGCUGCUCGACCAUGACAUGAACGCAUCCUCCACACGUUUGACUCCCUGUACGUCAGUCUUUGUCGUUGUCAUGUCUCUCGCGACCUCAUGAUCAAGUACCCAAGUCUGAAUAAUUUGUGCAGACCAAGUGUUUGUUCUUCUGCUUUCUGUUUGGUAUAGCUUCCCAACACUGGAAGAAGGUGAAUUCUACUGGAAAUUGGACAACUUUGUGGGAUUUCAAGGUGUUUCUGACAGGUGAAUAUUUUGAAGUUUUGUAGCAGAAUGAAGAUAGAUCCAAUCCGAAAUUUAGGACCUUUUCAAUUUAAUAAGAAGAUCACAGUACGUGUAUGCAGAAUUUGGAGACCUAAGGUUAUAGGAAAGGACAAUACGUUUGGCGGUCUUCAAUGUAUAUUGGUUGAUGAAAUGAUGUUCUGGGAUGCAUCACUACAGUAAAGCCUUUGGAGGACAGAAUGAUCGGUAAUGAGAGAAUGGAGAAAACACGCGAAGUGAAGUUGCAAAAUAUCAGGUCAACAAUAUAUGGAGACAUUUGAAUUUCUCAAAAUUGCUGCACAUUUUAUUCAAAAUACUAAUGUUUUUCUUAAUAUCCGUUCACUUAGGAGAGAAGAUGUUAACCUGACAUUGUGGGGUAACACUGUAAAGACCUUUGAUUUCGAAGCUCUGGAACACUUGACACCACCAGUUUUGGGUGUUUUUACAAGCCUUAACGUUAGACGAUUCAGAGAAAACAUUGUGCUGAACAACAGUAUUUCCACAAUGAUUUUCAUCAAUCCAGACAUUCUCGAAGCAACUCCUUACAAAGCAAUCAAGACAACUAAUGGGAUCAAAACAAUUGGAAAACGCUGAAAAACUGUCUGUUCAGGAUCUGAAUGUUUUGGAUCCAGAUUUGUACAAGAACACUUCAGUCUUAUGUAGAGCAGCCAUUACACGUUUUGACACGCAUGUUGGAUGGUGGUACAAAGCAUGUCCAUGCUGCUACAAACAACUGAGAAAAUAUGAAAAUAACAACGUACUAAUUUGUGUAAAGCACAAUGUUCAAACUCCCCUACCCUGAAAUGAUCUCUUGGUCCAAGCGAUUUUCGUCGACAAAAUACAAGCUGUUCAAUCAAGUUCCAAAGCUUCUUAUGAAUCAUUGGCUGAAUUUGAGGAGGUAGAUACUACAGCUCAGACUUUCAGCUCUGUUGUUACAACAUCGUCUACAGAAAGUUUAAUUCCAAAGGGUCUUUUCAGCUCUGAGAGUAGAAAAAAACCAAAGAGGGAAACUGAAAUUACUGAAGAAAUAGAUGAACAAAACGCUUCGGGCACCGAAGAUUUUCCCAUCAAAUCCCUCAGGAACAAAAUGUCUCCAAACAAAACUGAAAUAGUAUCUACUACUUCCAAAACCCGCAAGAACAAGUGCAAAGAUGACUGAAGUUCUCUGAACAAUACAGAACAAAUGGAAGUUUUUUUUUAUGAGCCCAAGGACAAAGAAGCAACAUGAAAACUAGAACCAUGUGGACAAUUUUUGAAACUGUAUAUAUUUGGGACUUGCAAGUCCAUCCUGUUAGUCGUUCAGAUCUGUUUUUUUUUUAUGUACAUAGAACUUUUAACAUAGAGUUAGUAAAAUACAGGUGCAAAAUGAACGGCUAAUCAAAGUGGGAGACUUUUGGAAGUGUAUAUGAAUGUAAAACUUAGAAAUCUCCCCAUUGGAUUGUAAAUAUGCUUUUGAUGUAAAAUAAAUAGAAUCUUCUAUAACUGAAAACCCUAUUUGACCCUGUUU